CCAUAUUGCACAUUAAGAUCGGGAUAUUCUCAUCAAGUUGUCUAAUGACAUCUUCAGUUAAGGUACGUGAGCUUAGAUCUCUAAAAAAGCUCCAAUACCUGCAAAUAACAUGUGCAAACAUAAUUAAUAAGAUAAAUUAUGUAUUUAUGUUUUCUACAUUAAUUAAGAAGUAACUCGUUUGUUACCUGCAAAUGCUUCGUGAACAUUUUUUGGAAGUAACUCCGCAAAUGCAAAUGGUAGAAGUCGUUGCAUAAACACAUGAUAGUCAUGACUCUUCAUCCCUGAAAAUUUAUGCCCCUGUUCA
rnacentral:lncRNA from 1 species